UACGAAGGGGGGCUAGCGUUGUUCGGAAUUACUGGGCGUAAAGCGCACGUAGGCGGACAUUUAAGUCAGGGGUGAAAUCCCAGAGCUCAACUCUGGAACUGCCUUUGAUACUGGGUGUCUUGAGUAUGGAAGAGGUGAGUGGAAUUCCGAGUGUAGAGGUGAAAUUCGUAGAUAUUCGGAGGAACACCAGUGGGCGAAGGCGGCUCACUGGUCCAUUACUGACGCUGAGGUGCGAAAGCGUGGGGGAGCAAAACAGG
rnacentral:rRNA from 1 species